rnacentral:rRNA from 1 species
AACGCUGGCGGCGUGCCUAACACAUGCAAGUCGAACGAGAAAGUGGAGCAAUCCAUGAGUAAAGUGGCGACCGGGUGAGUAACACGUGACUAACCUACCUCCGAGUGGGGAAUAACUCCGGGAAACCGGGGCUAAUACCGCAUAACAUCGCAAGAUCAAAGCAGCAAUGCGCUUGGAGAGGGGGUUGCGGCUGAUUAGCUAGUUGGUAGGGUAAUGGCCUACCAAGGCGAAGAUCGGUAUCCGGCCUGAGAGGGCGCACGGACACACUGGAACUGAAACACGGUCCAGACUCCUACGGGAGGCAGCAGUGGGGAAUUUUGCGCAAUGGGGGAAACCCUGACGCAGCAACGCCGCGUGGAGGAUGAAGCCCCUUGGGGCGUAAACUCCUUUCGACCAAGACGAUAAUGACGGUACUGGU